GAGGGAUGUUUGGGUGAAUGGUGUAGUGAAAAUAUGGUAGAGGGUGGUGUGAAUGAAAGGGUGCGGCACUACAUAUAUAUAGGCUGAAAAUCACAGCCCCUAGGUAGCAAAGGAAAAGGAUUUAAAGGCCUAAGUUGCAUAGGAAAAUAAAACACAAUCCUUGAAGGAAAACAAAUCAGAAAUCCAAAGGGAAUGGGAGGAUAAGGUGCGGCACUUAUCUAGGAAGGGAUAAGGGCUUCUAGAAACCAAAAUCCCAAGGGAAUUGGGUAAAAACUCACGGCACAAAGUGGAGGUAGAGUGGCUGAUUUGCAAUGCAAGGCAAAGGUCUUCUAGAAAGGUUCUAGGCGCCAUUUUUGUAGGAAAGGAUUAGGUUUUCUAGAAAUCUGAUUUUAAGCAUCCUAAUAUAGCUAGGAAUCUUCCCAAGUAGCUGAAAUAUAAGUGGAUUAGGAUUAGGAUAAGAUAGGAUAGGGUUUUGGAUAAGGUGUCUUCACUUGAGCUGAUUCUUUGGCUUUAACUUCCCUUCUUCAAGUAGGAAACCUUGUUUGAGUAGGAAACUUCAAUCUUCUAGGAAUCCAACUUCACUUAGGAAUCAUUCUUCAACUAGGAAUCCUUCUUCAACUAGGAAUCCAUGCUUGACUAGGAUUUCAUCUUCAAUUAAGCACUUUCCCACUUCAAUUAGGAAACUUUGCAUCUUCAAGUCUUCAACU
rnacentral:lncRNA from 1 species